AUAUCCCUGCGGUGCACGUUGGAGAUCUUGAUAAUUAUUGAACCAACACUAUUUUCAAGGGAGCCUAAACUCCUUUAGCGCUUAGGCGCUAAGGGGAGGGCACCCACCUGAAACCAAAUCGGUUCAGACUAUCUAUCCAACGGCACUUCUGCGGGGAUUUU
rnacentral:other from 1 species